AGCGAACGUUGGCGGCGUGCUUGAGGGAUGCAAGUCGCGCGAGAAGUCCGUCGCAAGACGGAUUGUAAAGCGGCGAAAGGGUGAGUAACACGUAGUUAACCUGCCCAUAGGCGGGGGACAACCAGUGGAAACGCUGGCUAAUACCCCGUAAGACCACGCCGGUGCAUACCGGAGGGGUAAAAGCAGGGGAUCCUUCGGGACCUUGUGCCUAUGGAGGGGAUUGCGGCCCAUCAGCUAGUUGGCAGGAUAACAGCCUACCAAGGCGAUGACGGGUAGCCGGCCGAGAGGGUGUUCGGCCACACGGGCACUGAGAUAAGGGCCCGACUCCUACGGGAGGCUGCACUCUGGAAUAGUUCGCAAUGGACGAAAGUCUGACGACGCAACGCCGCGUGGAGGAUGAAGGCCUUCGGGUCGUAAACUCCUUUUCGGGGUCACAAAGUCAUGCGGAUAUAACAUCUCCGCGUGUUGAUCGUCCCCGGAAUAAGCACCGGCUAAUUCUGUGCCAGCAGCCGCGGUAAGACAGAAGGUGCAAACGUUGCUCGGCGUUACUGGGCUUAAAGGGUGCGUAGGCGGUCCUUUAAGUGGCCUGUGAAACUCAAUGGCUCAACCAUUGAGCUGCGGGUCAAACUGAUGGACUCGAGGAUCGUAGAGGUAGGCGGAACUCAGGGUGUAGCGGUGAAAUGCGUAGAUAUCCUGGGGAACACCGGAUGCGAAGGCGGCCUACUGGGCGAUUCCUGACGCUGAGGCACGAAAGCCAGGGGAGCAAACGGGAUUAGAUACCCCGGUAGUCCUGGCCCUAAACUAUGGGCGCUAAAUGGAGGGAUCGUCGAUGGUUCCUCUGUCGUAGGGUAACCGUUAAGCGCCCCGCCUGGGGAGUAUGGUCGCAAGGCUGAAACUCAAAAGAAUUGACGGGGGCUCACACAAGCGGUGGAGCAUGUUGCUUAUUAUUCGAGGCAACGCGAAGAACCUUACCUGGGUUUGGCAUGUUCGGAUUAUUCCACCGAAAGGUGGAUACGCUCUUAACAGAGUGGAACGAGCACAGGUGCUGCAUGGCUGUCGUCAGCUCGUGUCGUGAGAUGUCGGGUUAAGUCCCUUAACGAGCGAAACCCCUGUCCAUAGUUGCCAUCGGGUCAUGCCGGGCACUCUGUGGAGACUGCCGGUGUUAAGCCGGAGGAGGGCGGGGACGACGUCAAGUCAUCAUGGCCUUUAUGCCCAGGGCCGCAAACGUGCUACAAUGGUCGGUACAAAGGGCCGCAAACCCGCGAGGGGGAGCAAAUCCCAAAAAGCCGACCCCAGUUCAGAUUGUAGGCUGCAACCCGCCUGCAUGAAGCCGGAAUCGCUAGUAACCGCGGAUCAGCCACGCCGCGGUGAAUACGUACCUGAGCCUUGUACACACCGCCCGUCAAACCACCAAAGCGGGGGGCACCCGAAGUCACUAACCUAACUCGCAAGAGAAGGAUGUGCCCACGGUGAACUCCGUAAUGGGGGUUAAGUCGAAACAAGGUA
rnacentral:rRNA from 1 species